UGCAUGUACGCCUCAUAAAUACUUUGCCACCUCCCGUGGACAAAUCAGUACCAGCAGAAUGUAAUGUUGAUUUAAUUUCAGAUACCCACCACAAGCAGAUACUGACUAUAACACAGGCGCAAGCACUACUAAACACAAGAGGUUACAUCUUCAUGUCAUUGGAGAAAGCGGAAGUGGAAAAAGCUCGACAGCGAACAGCAUCCUUAUGAGUGAAUCAUUCAAAGCAUCCCCGAGUUCAGAUGCUGUGACUACUGAGCUCACACCAUCCUCCAUUCAAAACUUCCAGGGCCAGCAGUAUGUUGUGGUCGACGGCCCAGGGCUGUGCUGUACAAGUAAGAAAGUCACAGAUGACAUGAUAGAAACCGUCGAGAAAAGACUUGAAUAUAUUCGGCGUAAUAAAGCCGACAGACAUGUUUUUCUCUACGUUUUCCGGAUAGGACAAAAAAUGUUGAACGACGAUAAUACUGUAGAGUUCUACGAGUCACAUUUUGGUCCAAAUUUGUUUACCGACUCUUGUGUAAUUGUAUUCAGGCAGGGUGAUAAGAAACCGUGGGUACUGGAAAAAUAUCUUAGUUUUUGUGAGGGAAAACUUAUAGAACUGAUCAGGAAAUGUAACAAUCGAAUUGUUUUAUUUGACAACGCAAGCACGGAAGAGAGUAUACAGAAGGACCAAUUGAGCAAGUUAUUCGACAAUCUUCCAAAGUAGGCAGCGCUUUUAUAACGCUUACCUGUAAUAUUACAGGUUGUUUUUUUAAUUUUAUAUUGGCUGUUUUCGCAAUAUUGAUUUUAAAAAUGAUUCAUCUGCUAAAUACUUACAUGAUGCACAUUUAUUUAUUUUCACAUAACAAUUUUAACAAUUGCUUCUGUUAAGAGACAACUGUUAGUUUAAGACAAUUUAAGUAUAUUUUUCUUCUAAUUGAUUUUUAACUUAUUUGAUAAACUAAAUACUGUCAACAGGUACGCAGUAGCGUAUUAAGAC